UGGUGCAAUGGUUACCACUGGAGACUCUGAAUCUCCCGAUCAGGGUUCGAUUCCCUG
rnacentral:tRNA from 1 species